GGAAUAUUGCACAAUGGGCGCAAGCCUGAUGCAGCGACGCCGCGUGAGGGAUGACGGCCUUCGGGUUGUAAACCUCUUUCAGUAGGGAAGAAGCGAAAGUGACGGUACCUGCAGAAGAAGCGCCGGCUAACUACGUGCCAGCAGCCGCGGUAAUACGUAGGGCGCAAGCGUUAUCCGGAAUUAUUGGGCGUAAAGAGCUCGUAGGCGGUUUGUCGCGUCUGCUGUGAAAGACCGGGGCUCAACUCCGGUUCUGCAGUGGGUACGGGCAGACUAGAGUGCAGUAGGGGAGACUGGAAUUCCUGGUGUAGCGGUGAAAUGCGCAGAUAUCAGGAGGAACACCGAUGGCGAAGGCAGGUCUCUGGGCUGUAACUGACGCUGAGGAGCGAAAGCAUGGGGAGCGAACAGGAUUAGAUACCCUAG
rnacentral:rRNA from 1 species